rnacentral:misc_RNA from 1 species
GUGAGGCCUUCUGACUGGCGCCGAUACUCUGGCAACAGAGCGCCGGAUGCCGGGAAGUUGGUCAAACUUGAUCAUUUAGAGGAAGUAAAAGUCGUAACAAGGUUUCCGUAGGUGAACCUGCGGAAGGAUCAUUACCGAUAACAAUCCAAUCAUAAAAAUGGAUUUUUAACCUCUGUGAACUGUACACAAUCUUUAGGGGUCGGUGGCGCUUUUACCGUUAAAUGGUCGUCGGUCCGUGCAUUCGGCUUUCGGCCAGCCCCGCCAUUCUCGUUUGUUGACACACUUCAAUGUAUUGCUCUGAAACAUAUCUGCCCGUUCAUUUUUUUUUUUUUUAAAGAAAAAAGACGGGCGAGUGACAAAGAACAUGUGGAGACAACUUUUAACGGUGGAUCUCUAGGCUCACGUAUCGAUGAAGAACGCAGCCAGCUGCGAUAAGUAGUGUGAAUUGCAGAAUUCAGUGAAUCAUUGAAUCUUUGAACGCAAAUGGCGCUCUUGGGUUCUCCCAGGAGCAUGUCUGUCUGAGUGUCGGAUAUCAUCUAACGCACUCGUUUGGUGUGCGGAAUUGAGGCGUCACGGCGUUCUCUCUGUCGCCGUGUCCCUUGAAGGAAAGCGUGUUAGACUCGCAUCGUGCGCGGUUUCAAAAAAACCUGCACUCCAUGCGAAGGCUAAAGACAUUAUUUUGUCCUUCGUCUGGGUGCCGGUCCGCCAGCGCGAGUCGGCCGAAAA